GUGAAUCAUCGAAUUUUUGAACGCAAAUUGCACUCUCUUGGAAGACUAUGCCUGUUUGUGGGUCAGUAUUAAUAAAAAUAGGAGUGUUGCUUCUUUUUGACGCUCCGGCGUCUGGGUUAUCUUAAUAUCCUUUAGGUUUUAAGUGUAUUAAACUUGAAUUUUUUUGCGCAUUUUAGAUGUACAUAAAUUAUUUUUUUUAUUUGUCUGUCUUAAUGCUCAAAAUCCUAUUAGAUGCGACCCUAUCGUGUGGUUUCGUGUCUAUAA
rnacentral:misc_RNA from 1 species